GUGCCCGUCCACCGAACGGUCGGCAGGCGAUCCGCGUCGGUCGUGCUGGGUGGUAUGGUUCCCCAGAGGCCGGUUCUUGUGCUGCCUACCCCUUCAGGGGAAGAGUUCCAAACUCGAUGUAAGCCUCCAUCCGGCGCCCUCCAGAGGGCGCGGGAGGACAACGGAGCACCCCCCGCGUUCCACCGAGCCUCCUCGGUCGUGUGGCCCGCGGGGACGUGCGAUGCUCUCGGACCCAGUGAACGCCGUGGGCGAGGACUCACGUCCCGGUCCCAAGUGAAGCAACGGUACAACGGAUGACGGCCGCUCCCGCCCCCCGACCGCCCCGGCGGCGCGGGGGCGAAGGCGCGGCGUCGCUGAGGAAUGCU
rnacentral:misc_RNA from 1 species